GACGUAGGGCGCGAGCGUUGUCCGGACUUAUUGGGCGUAAAGAGCUCGUAGGCGGCUUGUUGCGUCGACUGUGAAAACCCGCGGCUUAACUGCGGGCUUGCAGUUGAUACGGGCAGGCUAGAGUUCGGUAGGGGAGACUGGAAUUCCUGGUGUAGCGGUGAAAUGCGCAGAUAUCAGGAGGAACACCAGUAGCGAAGGCGGCUCGCUGGGCCAUUCCUGACGCUGAGGUGCAAAAGCGUGGGGAGCAAACAGG
rnacentral:rRNA from 1 species